rnacentral:sRNA from 1 species
AGAGAUGGGUCUAUAGCUGGAUUGCAAA